CUCUAUCUAUGGUUCCUAAGUGUGAUAACUGGGUGUUCUUCUGUCUUUGUGAUUUAUGCCUCUUUCAAACCUUGUUAAAACAUUAGCACAUUAGGUGGGAGC